rnacentral:rRNA from 1 species
CUCUAGAGAUAGAGAGAUAGCUAUAGGGGAUACAGGUGGUGCAUGGUUGUCGUCAGCUCGUGUCGUGAGAUGUUGGGUUAAGUCCCGCAACGAGCGCAACCCUUGUCGCUAGUUACCAUCAUUAAGUUGGGGACUCUAGCGAGACUGCCUCUGCAAGGAGGAGGAAGGCGGGGAUGACGUCAAAUCAUCAUGCCCCUUAUGACCUGGGCUACACACGUGCUACAAUGGACGGAUCAAAGGGAAGCGAAGCCGCGAGGUGGAGCGAAACCCAAAAACCCGUUCUCAGUUCGGACUGCAGUCUGCAACUCGACUGCACGAAGUUGGAAUCGCUAGUAAUCGCGAAUCAGAAUGUCGCGGUGAAUACGUUCUCGGGCCUUGUACACACCGCCCGUCACACCAUGAGAGUUGGUAACACCCGAAGCCGGUGGCUUAACCGCAAGGAGAGAGCUGUCUAAGGUGGGACUGAUGAUUAGGGUGAAGUCGUAACAAGGUAUCCCUACGGGAACGUGCGGCUGGAUCACCUC